UACGAAGGGGCUAGCGUUGUUCGGAAUUACUGGGCGUAAAGCGCGCGCAGGCGGUCUUCCAAGUCAGUGGUGAAAGCCCGGAGCUCAACUCCGGAACUGCCCAUUGAAAACUGUUAGACUUGAGGACGAGAGAGGUGAGUGGAAUUCCCAGUGUAGCGGUGAAAUGCGUAGAUAUCGGGAAGGAACACCUGUGGCGAAGGCGCUAUCUGGGGUGCAACUGACGCUGAGGCGCGAAGGCUAGGGUAGCAACAGGAUAGA
rnacentral:rRNA from 1 species